GGGCUACGUUUCCGGAUAUUGGGCGUAAGAGCUCGUAGGCGGUUUGUCGCGUCUGCUGUGAAAAACCGGGCUUACCUUGGUUCUGCAGUGGAUACGGGCGUGCCUAAGGUGCGUAGGGGAAACUGGGAUUUCUGGGUGUACGGUGAAAUGGCGCAAAUUUCAGGAGAAACCCGGUGGGCAAAGGCGGUAUCUGGGGCUGUCCUGGACCUUAAGAACCAAAACCUGGGGAACCAAACAGAAUUAAAUCCCUGGGUAUCCCUGGCCUAAAACUUUGGGCCUUAGUGUGGGGACUUUCCCCGGUUUCCCCGCCCCACCUAAAACAUUUUACGCCCCCCCUGGGGGGAACAGGGCCAAGGGGCUAAAUCUCAAGAAAUUUGAGGGGCCCCCACAAACGCGGGAGAAUGUUGCUUAAAUUUCCAUGCCACGAAAAAACUUUUACAGGGGUUACAUCUCCCCCGGACCUGGCCAGAUAUGGGGUCAUUUCUUUUGGGGGUGACAUGUGGGUGCAUGCAUGGUUGUCAGCUCGCUGUCUGUGAGAUGUAUGGUUAAUUCCCUCCCCCAACGCAACCCUUGUUCCAUGUAUGUUGCCCGCAAUGGAUGGGGACUCACUCAUAGACUGACUGGGUCAACUCCUAGGAAGGAGGGGACGAUGACAUUCAUCAUGCCCCCUAUGUCUGUGGUGUGCAUACAUGCUGCUAGAUGGUAGUACAGCGUGUGAUAUACCGAGGUGGAGAGAAUCUCUAAAACCGGUCUCUCAUCUCAUAUCGUCUGCUGCUCUCCCUAUGAGAGUGGAGAGUCUCUAAUAUCGCAUCAUCAACACGCGCUGAAUACAUUCUCGCGGGUCGUACACACACCGCGCGUCGACAUGAGAGACGCCGUCACCCCGACUCCGUCUACACUUCUUGACUGAGUGAAUAUCUGAGCUGACAUGUGACGACAGAAGACACAAAAAACAAGGUGGGUGUGUGUUCUCUUCUAAGCACACACGACGCACAGAGUGCUGCGGAGAUGUAGUAAGAUAUUACGCGCUCUGCCUCGUCGCGAUAGCUGCUUAUCUGAUAUCACAUCUGCUCUGCAACCAGAUGAGAGUUGCAUUCAUCUCGUGAUGACUAUCGUCGGUCGUCGUCUACGUGAUGUAUGUCAGCAUCAUCGACGAUUGACGACAUCAGCAUCCAUGCACAGACAG
rnacentral:rRNA from 1 species